rnacentral:rRNA from 1 species
GUGGAUUAGUUACCCGAGUAGUCCUGGCCGUAAACGAUGGAUACUAGGUGUUGCGGGUAUCGACCCCUGCAGUGCCGAAGCAAACGCGAUAAGUAUCCCGCCUGGGGAGUACGCACGCAAGUGUGAAACUCAAAGGAAUUGACGGGGACCCGCACAAGCGGUGGAACAUGUGGUUUAAUUCGAAGCAACGCGAAAAACCUUACCAGGGCUUGACAUCUAACAAACACUUGUGAAAGCGAGUGGUGCUCUUCGGAGAAUGUUAAGACAGGUGGUGCACGGCCGUCGCCAUCU